CAUUAUUGGAUGACUCAUUCAUAUUCCAUUUACCCAGUUCAAAGUCACAGCGAUAGGUCAAGGCUACUACAUGAUACUCAAAUUUUGUCCUAUACCCAUCAUGAGGUUGCGACAACCUAGCCUAUGAAUGAAAGUUUUCAACAAUCGGCGGAAUGAAUACGACUAGGUAAACGCUUGAGAAAGAACGGAAGAGGGAGAAAUAGAGACAGUGUCGUUCCUGAGACCGCACCCCUCCACCACAGGUCCUGGAGCAGGUGGACCAGCUGCUCCACUCCCCCCACCACUGGGCCACCUCGUCGGGCUGCUGCACUCCUGGUGCUUCUGGCUGUGCUGGCUCUGCCGAUCGACCUCCUCACUCCCAUCACUACUGUCCUGGCAGAGCUAGAGUAUUUUACAUGUGUAUUACACUGUAUGUACAGUAUGCAUAUGUGUGUCUUUUUCUUAUUCUCUCUCUGCCAUUAGGAUGGCAUAAGGGAGAGUUGUGUUGGGAAAAGCCAUGUAGCCCUAACAGUAGGGUUGCUGUGCAGACUGCAACUGGCAGCAGCAGCUGGCUGGACUGUUCCAUUAAACCCGAGGGGGUACGGAAAACUAAAAGACCGAAAAUCACUUUAGGUGGCAUUUGCACAAGAUUUCCCACUGUAAGUAUUCUGUCUGUGUGUGUGUAAGAGGCAGCAGCAAGCAACCCAGUGACAUGAUUGACUUUGCUAUGUUGCCUCUAUUCCUGAAGUGUUUCCUCCCUACAUGAACAAGCACACAGUGGGGAGUGUUUCCCUAAACACAUUAUCACCACUAAUGGUGCUGAGGCUCACUUUCCACCCGACGAAUCUGUUAACACGUGUUUAUCACUGACUGAAACAGAGUCCAAAAAUGGCUGCUGCUACCUCCUGGGGUGUACCUUAAAACCUAUAGACUUUCAGGGUUUACGCCAAUUAAUGAACAAUGGACAAUAUAUGGAGGUGUCAUACGUACUGGCAAUGUUUACUUGUGUGGCUACAGCACAAUGAAUCCAUUUGGGCUAAAUAUGGCAAUGUAAGUUGGUAGCUAUCCCCCUACUAAUUGUUGUUUCAUUUUGUGUUUCUUUUCUGCUACUGGCAAGGAGAGAUGGCCAGUCCCAUAUGGGCUACCACUACACAAUGUCUUCCUGUUGAUUCCUGUUCUCCUCUGUUUAGGCUACUCCCAGGGAGGACUUGCCCUACAGGCAAUGAUGAGUUAUUAUAUAAGAUUAGGCUUGCAUAUCUUCUUUUUGAUUUCAUUUUCUUUCUUUUUUCCUCAUUACCCUUACUCAUCAAGUCUGAUAACUUCAUUGUAAAGGUCUG
rnacentral:lncRNA from 1 species